AGCCCGCUCGCCGGAAGACCAAGGGUUCCUGUCCAACGUUAAUCGGGGCAGGGUGAGUCGACCCCUAAGGCGAGGCCGAAAGGCGUAGUCGAUGGGAAACAGGUUAAUAUUCCUGUACUUGGUGUUACUGCGAAGGGGGGACGGAGAAGGCUAUGUUGGCCGGGCGACGGUUGUCCCGGUUUAAGCGUGUAGGCUGGUUUUCCAGGCAAAUCCGGAAAACCAAGGCUGAGGCGUGAUGACGAGGCACUACGGUGCUGAAGCGACAAAUGCCCUGCUUCCAGGAAAAGCCUCUAAGCAUCAGGUAACAUCAAAUCGUACCCCAAACCGACACAGGUGGUCAGGUAGAGAAUACCAAGGCGCUUGAGAGAACUCGGGUGAAGGAACUAGGCAAAAUGGUGCCGUAACUUCGGGAGAAGGCACGCUGAUAUGUAGGUGAAGCGACUUGCUCGUGGAGCUGAAAUCAGUCGAAGAUACCAGCUGGCUGCAACUGUUUAUUAAAAACACAGCACUGUGCAAACACGAAAGUGGACGUAUACGGUGUGACGCCUGCCCGGUGCCGGAAGGUUAAUUGAUGGGGUUAGCGGUAACGCGAAGCUCUUGAUCGAAGCCCCGGUAAACGGCGGCCGUAACUAUAACGGUCCUAAGGUAGCGAAAUUCCUUGUCGGGUAAGUUCCGACCUGCACGAAUGGCGUAAUGAUGGCCAGGCUGUCUCCACCCGAGACUCAGUGAAAUUGAACUCGCUGUGAAGAUGCAGUGUACCCGCGGCAAGACGGAAAGACCCCGUGAACCUUUACUAUAGCUUGACACUGAACAUUGAGCCUUGAUGUGUAGGAUAGGUGGGAGGCUUUGAAGUGUGGACGCCAGUCUGCAUGGAGCCGACCUUGAAAUACCACCCUUUAAUGUUUGAUGUUCUAACGUUGGCCCCUAAUCGGGGUUGCGGACAGUGUCUGGUGGGUAGUUUGACUGGGGCGGUCUCCUCCUAAAGAGUAACGGAGGAGCACGAAGGUUGGCUAAUCCUGGUCGGACAUCAGGAGGUUAGUGCAAUGGCAUAAGCCAGCUUGACUGCGAGCGUGACGGCGCGAGCAGGUGCGAAAGCAGGUCAUAGUGAUCCGGUGGUUCUGAAUGGAAGGGCCAUCGCUCAACGGAUAAAAGGUACUCCGGGGAUAACAGGCUGAUACCGCCCAAGAGUUCAUAUCGACGGCGGUGUUUGGCACCUCGAUGUCGGCUCAUCACAUCCUGGGGCUGAAGUAGGUCCCAAGGGUAUGGCUGUUCGCCAUUUAAAGUGGUACGCGAGCUGGGUUUAGAACGUCGUGAGACAGUUCGGUCCCUAUCUGCCGUGGGCGCUGGAGAACUGAGGGGGGCUGCUCCUAGUACGAGAGGACCGGAGUGGACGCAUCACUGGUGUUCGGGUUGUCAUGCCAAUGGCACUGCCCGGUAGCUAAAUGCGGAAGAGAUAAGUGCUGAAAGCAUCUAAGCACGAAACUUGCCCCGAGAUGAGUUCUCCCUGAGACUUAGAGUCUCCUGAAGGAACGUUGAAGACGACGACGUUGAUAGGCCGGGUGUGUAAGCGCAGCGAUGCGUUGAGCUAACCGGUACUAAUGAACCGUGAGGCUUAACC
rnacentral:rRNA from 1 species